CCUACCUACCUACCAGCUACUCCUCUCAUUAUUCAUUCGCCCCCCCCCGUGCGCGCGCAUGUUUCCCGCAACGUUCUGCCGCCCACGCUCUAUCUAGACAUCGCGGCUAUCGCUCCGCACGAGCGGGCUCUACCGUAAAGUCGCUCGCCGCCGGAUAGCGGGCCCCGCUUUCCAACAUUGUCGCAAAGCUUAUAUAGAGACAAGAAGCGGUGAAACCCGGGCAACCAAAGGGAGGCGGCAGGGGAGCAGCGGAAGCGAGCGGCGAUCUUACAGUGGUUGGGAACUGAGCUCCGUGGCUCCCCCUCGGCAGAAAGGGAUUGGGCUCUUCCGAACCCAGAUACUGGAAUGAGAAGCGGGAUUGGCCGCUCGGAGACCUAAAACUUCAAGGGAGAGGAACGGGAUUGGCUGUUUCCUCCUUUGAGGUGGGGAUUUAUCUUUCCAGUGCUGGAGAAUACAUCUUUUUGUUGCCACGAAAGCCCUUGGGACCUAUUUAUGUUGUCCAUCUGAUAGUUCCCGCAGUGCCGGGAUGUAAUUCAAAACUGAAUAUAUAUCAGUGAAUUUCAAAGAAGAUUCUAAAACUAGAUUAAUAUGUAUAAUGAUCUCAGUCUGGAAGGAAGUCACCAUGGAACAAACCCACAUGGUAAUAAUGCUUUUGGUACAGUGUGACAACACCAGGAUCAACAGUCAGAGAGGGUUAUCCACUUGGAAAUGCUUUUUUAUUAUUAAUAAUUUAAACUACAAAUCUAAGGAAACACAACUUACUGAGGCAAUGUCAUCUUUUCAUUGGCACUUGUGAAGAAAUCCUAUCUAUUUUAAUUGUGUUUUAAUGGAUAUUGUGUAAUAUAUUCUGCCAUUUGUAUUGUAAUGUGUUUGAUGGGGGAAUCCUCCGGUUAUGUGGAAGUUGGUUUAACUGUCACUGGGAGAUCUCAACUGACAGCAAGGAGGAAAUAGAACUCUCAGUAUGCAAAAAAAGAAUAGAAGACUUGUAUAUUCAGAUUGGUUAUUGCAGAUUUAGAAUUCUUAGUUAAUCGGUGCAGUUGACUGGUAGUAAUGUAUAUAUGACCAUGUGGUGGUCAGCAGGAGGGUUAGUUGGUUAGUCCAUGCUGAUUGGUGCUUGGUGUUCAACCAGAAGAUGAAGACAGCAGAGGAAGAAGAUUGCAAAAGAAAAAAGAACAUCUGAAAGGAAGGCAGAGUAUAUUGGUGACCGAUGACUUGCCUGGGGUAGCUGAAUCACUUGGCUCAGACUGAAGAGAUGAGAAGAGCACCUGUCUACGGCACUGAGGGAGAAGGGAGGGACCAGAUUCCAGGACAGGACAGCAGAAACAGACCUACACUUUACUAGGGGCUGAAACAUGGGAAUUCAACAAAAGCCCUCAAUUAUAGUCAGCUGGUGAGGCUUCACUGAAGUGGACCAAUGGGAGUCUGGAAAAAGUGUUUGAAUAAAGUGUUUUAAUAUAGUUACUAA